AUCUUUUCUCAUGGAAAGAAAACAAUUUUCUUCGGAAGUUGUCUAUCUUUAAGCGACUGUGAAGAUAUAAUUAAUGAAUAAGAAUAUUGUACAUGCACAUCGUUUGUACAAGUGCGGUCAUCGAAGAAUAUUGGGACUUUUGAUUUCUCAGGUUCUCACAGAAUCCGCUUCAAGGAUGACACACGUGUAAAAAAAAAGGAAGUACAAUACCAUCUACUGGUGCACCAUUGUGAUCGUCGGCUCUCGGUUACUGGAAUGCCACCAAGGUCCCGACCAUAGGAAACAGGCCAACGAGAGUAAAACUGAGCUUGUUGCUACCGGCGAUCACAACUAUAGGCAAAUGGCCUAUAAAAAGAGAGUCAUGUGCUCGAAAAAGCUGGGAUGCACAGCCCCAAUAUUACUGAGGGAGUGCAUUAGAUUCCAAGAUUAUAAGCCUAAGAAAGAUAGUCAUAUCUGCCAGGACAAGUGCUCGCAACAAUUGCGAAACGACCUACAGUCGUCAGUUUAUGACGAGGUGAGAAUGGAAAAAUGCAUUUUCAUUGACCUGCCCAAGAUCGAAGAUCAUCAGGGCCAUAUAAUGGGAGACGCUGCUAAUCUUAAAGUUCCCAUUGACGAUACAAUCACAUCAGGCACCUCAUCAAUGAGAACAUCACCCAACCAAGAGAGAUCCAGAGGAAUGUGAAAAUGUUGGUAAAGUCCAUCUUUGGCAGUAGACUCCCCAGUGACCUUAAUAGAAGGUUCUAUCUCAGCAGGAAGAACAUACGGAAAAUAGUAUACAGGGAGAGGAAGAGGUUAAUGGACGGAAAACUGGACCAACAGCUAUUAGCUGAGAAGGUAGAAGAAUGGACGGAUGAGGACACCGGUAAUCUAGUCUUCUUUCGUCCGCGGACGGAAGAUUGGGACAAGGAAAGCAGCCGUUUCUUGCUGAUUUUUCAAAGCGAAUGGCAACGACGUCUGCUUGCCAAAUACGGCAAAGAGCUAGUAUUUCUGGACGCAACAUAUCGUUCCACUAGAUACGCUUUACCCUUAUUUUUUCUCUGUGUGUACACUAACAGCGGGUACUACAUCGUUGCAACAAUGGAAGUCGAGAAUGAAAAUUCCGUAUCCUUAGCCGAAGCCUUGGGCAGAUUGAAGGAGGCCAACAGCGGUUUUAACACAUCUGCAUUCAUGAUAGACGCUUCUGAUGUCGAACAGAAUGCGAUAAAAAUGACUUUCCCAAGUCACAAAACAUGAUUAGCAGCAGUGACGAAUACGAUGGGAAAAGUUCUGUGUCGCCACUUGUCCCGAAAGAAGACGUAGUUUUGUUUAAUACUGUUCAUUCUGUAGCAAACGAGAUGUCAUCAGAAAAAGUUAACUGUGUCGCCAUUGUCCCGAAAGAAGACGUAGUUUUGUUUAAUACUGUUUAUUCUGUAGCAAACGAGAUGUCAUCAGAAAAAGUUAACAGUUUGUUACAAUUGCAAAGAAUUAUUGGUGUAAAUGGGCAGUAUAAAAACUUAAGUUGGGACACUGUAAAUGCUAUUCAAGUUUUAUAAGUCUAUAAUUUUUGUAAUUACCAAGGAUUUAGUAUCAGAAAUAAACAGUUCACCCACAUAUGCGAUAAUGCUUGAUGAAAGUACUGACAUUAAGUGUUCAGAAACAUCUCUCUGUCUGUGUAAGGUACGGGAAAAAUGGAGAGGCAGUGACCAAAUUUUUGUUCAAUAGUUAUUUGAGAGAUGGUAAAAGUUACACUAUUAUAAAUUGCAUUGCAGAAGAAUUCAAAAAGUUGGGUAUACCUUUAUCUAAAUGUUCAAGUCUAUCAACAGACGGUGCUGCAGUAAUGACGGGUAGAAAAACAGGCGUUGCAGUUCAACUGUAAUCUAAAUACUCCCCAUUUUGUACAAUGACACAUUGUGUUGCUCACUGCUUGAAUUUGGCCUGUGUAGAUUAAAUGAAAUAUGAUGACUUUCUCACAAGAUUUAAAAAUAAAUUUAGUGACCUGUACUUUUUUAUGUCUAGUUCUUCAGUUAGAAGUACAAUAUUAAAGGAGAUUGAAGAUGUAUUAGAAGAGCCAACUCUGUCAAACAGCCCCAUGAUAUUACAUGGCUUGGAUUGAGAAAUGCUGUGAAAGCUGUAUUCAAAUGUUAUGGUUCUGUACUCGCUUGCUUAAGUCACUUUGCGGAGGAGAAAAAUCCUGUAGCUAAGCACUUGUACAAAUACUUUAACAAUUACAAAACUGCCCUGGUGACUGCAUUUAUCCUAGAAGUCCAUGAUGAGCUGGCUGUAUUAAGUUGUGAAUUUCAAAAGGCAAGUCUUGCAUGCUCAGAGGUCCAAGCCUAGAUUGAUGGAACCAUUAAUAAACUAGAGAUUUUAGCAUCUACAGAUGGCCCUUCCCUAAUAGAUAUGAAAGGGAGAAUCACUGUUGAAGAUGGUAAAGCAAUGUACAGCACUGAUACUCUACAGUACAAAUCUACAAUGGAUAGUGACUUUAACAAUAAGAGAAGAACUUACAUUGACAGCUUGAAGAAGAACAUCAGAAAUAGACUGAGAAAAGAAGAUAGUGAUGUAUUUUCUGACCUUUCUAAGGUUUUAGAACCAGAUACAGUGAAGGACACACCACAUGUUGAAUGUC